GUUGAAGGGGAACCGAUGGUCCGAGCAUUAAAUACCAUUGAGUAUCCUCUGUUAUGGUUGCUUCCAUAUCAACUGAGACCUACACAGUAAUUGGAGUACAAGCAUUCUAAGUUUGUUAAUCUGAUUAUUGAAGGGGAACCGAUGGUCCGACCAUUAGAAUGUGCAAGGCGUUACUUCCAGUAAAUGAAGAACAUUUGACUGAUGAAGCCAUAUGGGAGUCACUUCCUGUAAAGCAUGAUCACACAGUCAUCACUAAUGACCUUUCAGCAUCGAAAAACAUCAAAUCCAAAAAUCUAAUGUUUUC